UACGGAGGGUGCAAGCGUUAAUCGGAAUUACUGGGCGUAAAGCGCACGCAGGUGGCUGAGUCAGUCGAUUGUGAAAGCCCUGGGCUUAACCUGGGAAUUGCAGUCGAUACUACUCAGCUAGAGUAUGGGAGAGGGUAGUGGAAUUCCCGGUGUAGCGGUGAAAUGCGUAGAUAUCGGGAGGAACAUCAGUGGCGAAGGCGGCUACCUGGCCCAAUACUGACGCUGAGGCGCGAAAGCUAGGGUAGCAAACGGG
rnacentral:rRNA from 1 species